rnacentral:rRNA from 1 species
GCUGACGAGUGGCGGACGGGUGCGUAACGCGUGGGAAUCUGCCCAGUAGUGGGGGAUAACCCGGGGAAACUCGGGCUAAUACCGCAUAAUCCCCAAGGGGAAAAGCGGGGGAUCUUCGGACCU